CGCCUGUUUAUCAAAAACAUGUCUUUUUGCUAGUUUUUUAAGGUUUGGCCUGCUCCAUGAGUGUUAAAUAGCCGCAGUAUUUUGACUGUGCAAAGGUAGCAUAAUCAUUAGUUUUUUAAUUGAAAGCUGGAAUGAAUGGUCGGAUGAGGAAAUAACUGUCUCAUAUUAAUUUUAUUGGAAUUUUAUUUUUAAGUAAAAAAGCUUAGAUUUAAUAAAAAGACGAGAAGACCCUAUAGAGUUUAAUAGGUAAUAAUUAUAGAAAAUUUUAGGGUUUUAUAUUUUUUAUAAUUACACUUAUUUUGUUGGGGUGACAGAGAAUUGAAUGGAACUUCUCUAUAUAAUUACAUUGAUUUAUGAGUUUAUGAUCCUUUCAUAAAGAUUUAAAGAUUAAAUUACCUUAGGGAUAACAGCGUAAUUUUUUCAGAGAGUUCUUAUCAAUGAAAAAGGUUGCGUCCUCGAUGUUGGAUUAAAGUUAAUUCUUGGUGCAGAAGCUAGGAUAUUGAGUCUGUUCGACUUUUAAAACUUUCGUGAUCUGAGUUUAGACCCG
rnacentral:rRNA from 1 species